rnacentral:lncRNA from 1 species
GGGGUCAAGGAUGGACUCUGGUCCCCAAGUGUCCCCUCCCUGCUGGUGUGGGGUCAAGGAUGGACUCUGGUCCCCAAGUGCCACCUCCCUGCCAUCACAGGGAGGACAGGAUUGGGGACAAGCUCCUGUCCCCAGGUGCCACCUCUCUGCUGUCACAGCCUUGGGGACACCACCAAGUCCAGGACAAGCUCCUGUCCCCAGGUGCCACCAACCAGGGCCUGGGGACACUUGUGGUGACACUGGGGACCCCCAGGACCCUCCAAACUCCCCAGGACCAGGAGCCCCCUUGUCCCCCCCAACCUGGGUGGCACUGGGGACAGCCAUGUCCCCUCUCCCAUGGGUUGGUGGCACUGGGGACAGCCGUGUCCCCUUUCCCAUGGGUUGGUGGCACUUGGGGACAGCCGUGUCCCCUCCCCCCCGGGUGGGGGAGGGGCUGUACAGCCGUGUAUAGACCCUGUAAAUAAAGGACCCGCGGGACUGGGACCGGUGUGACA